AGUGAACGCUGGCGGCGUGCCUAAUACAUGCAAGUCGAACGAAGUGGCGCACGGGUGAGUAAUAUAUAGUUAAUCUGCCCUACACAGAGGAACAACAGUUGGCAACGACUGCUAAUACCUCAUAGUGUAGGAUGAGACUAUAUCGUAUCAACUAGUUGGUAAGGUAAUGCCUUACCAAGGCUAUGACGCGUAACUGGUCUGAGAGGAUGAUCAAUCGACUUGGAAGUGAGACACGAGCCAGAAUCCUACGGGAGGGAGCAGUAAGGAAUAUUGCGCAAUGGGGGAAACCCUGACGCAGCAUCGCCGCGUGGAGGAUGACACUUUUCGGGGCGUAAACUCAUUUUAACAGGAAAGCGGUACCUGAUGAAUAAGCACCGGCUAACUCCGUGCCAGCAGCCGCGGUAAUAC
rnacentral:rRNA from 1 species